UAGCUACUCCCUCCGUCCGGAAAUAGUUGUCAUCAAAAUGGAUAAAAGGGGAUGUAUCUAGAUGUAUUUUAGUUAUAGAUAAAUCUCUUUUUAUCCAUUUUGAUGACAAGUAUUUUCGGACGGAGGGAGUAUAAC
rfam:Triticum aestivum genome assembly, contig: Triticum_aestivum_CS42_TGACv1_scaffold_220767_3B